AACCUCCGCAAUGUACGAAAGUACGACGGGGGGAUCCCAAGUGUUAUGCUUUUUUGUAUAACUUUUCAUUAGUGUAAAAAGCUUUUAGAAUAAGAGCUGGGCAAGACCGGUGCCAGCCGCCGCGGUAACACCGGCAGCUCGAGUGGUAGCUGUUUUUAUUGGGCCUAAAGCGUUCGUAGCCGGUUUGAUAAGUCUUUGGUGAAAGCUUGUAGCUUAACUAUAAGAAUUGCUGGAGAUACCAUCAGACUUGAAGUCGGGAGAGGUUAGAGGUACUACCGGGGUAGGGGUGAAAUCCUAUAAUCCUGGGAGGGCCACCUGUGGCGAAGGCGUCUAACUGGAACGAUCUUGACGGUGAGUAACGAAAGCCAGGGGCGCGAACCGGAUUAGAUACCCGGGUAGUCCUAACUGUAAACGAUGCGGACUUGGUGUUGGGGUGGCUUUGAGCUGCUCCAGUGCCGAAGGGAAGCUGUUAAGUCCGCCGCCUGGGAAGUACGGUCGCAAGACUGAAACUUAAAGGAAUU
rnacentral:rRNA from 1 species